rnacentral:rRNA from 1 species
AUGAACGCUGGCGGCGUGCCUCAUCCAUGCAAGUCGAGCGAACAGACGAGGAGCUUGCUCCUCUGACGUUAGCGGCGGACGGGUGAGUAACACGUGGAUAACCUACCUAUAAGACUGGGAUAACUUCGGGAAACCGGAGCUAAUACCGGAUAAUAUAUUUAACCGCAUGGUUCAAUAGUGAAAGACGGUUUUGCUGUCACUUAUAGAUUGAUCCGCGCCGCAUUAGCUAGUUGGUAAGGUAACGGCUUACCAAGGCAACGAUGCGUAGCCGACCUGAGAGGGUGAUCGGCCACACUGGAACUGAGACACGGUCCAGACUCCUACGGGAGGCAGCAGUAGGGAAUCUUCCGCAAUGGGCGAAAGCCUGACGGAGCAACGCCGCGUGAGUGAUGAAGGUCUUCGGAUCGUAAAACUCUGUUAUUAGGGAAGAACAAAUGUGUAAGUAACUAUGCACGUCUUGACGGUACCUAAUCAGAAAGCCACGGCUAACUACGUG